rnacentral:rRNA from 1 species
UACAUAGGUCCCAAGCGUUGUUCGGAUUCACUGGGCGUAAAGGGUGCGCAGGUGGUCGGGUAAGUCUGAUGUGAAAUCCCGCAGCUUAACUGCGGAAUGGCAUUGGAUACUAUUCGGCUAGAGGGUUGGAGGGGGGACUGGAAUUCUCGGUGUAGCAGUGAAAUGCGUAGAUAUCGAGAGGAACACCAGUGGCGAAGGCGAGUCCCUGGACAACUCCUGGCGCUGAGGGACGAAAGCUAGGGGAGCAAACAGG